AGGUCCUGUCCACCCAGGAAGGACAGGAAGCAAAGGUGAGGAGGCAGGAGAGGGACAGCGACUUCCCGCCCCCGCCAGCUGUGCUCACACCUACAGCCUCUGGGGAUGAGCUCUCAAGAAGCCAUGUCAAAAGGGAGGGGCAUCUAAGGCGUGGGAGAACCCUGACGUCUAAGUGGCCCGCAUCACAGCGAUCUGAAGAAAACACUUCAAGGCCAUAGAGGCUCAUGACGUUGGUAGUGUUUUGAAGGCGAUAGAGAAAUCAGCUGGGCUCCAGGUAAGAGAAGGCAUUCUAGUCCAAAUCAAAGUUCCCAUGGUUCAGAGACCUGGCCUUAACAACUCACUCUGCUUCCUGGUAGAGAAUAACGGGCCAAUCAGAGGUAGUGGCAUGGGCCAAGUGGGCCAAUAGGGAGCUCCUCCUAGGCUACUCCGUGGUGGUAGAGACUUAGUUGAGCAGGUCUCUGGAGUCCCAGGGCUGUACCUCCUGUGUAUACCCUGGGUCUAUCCUGCAGCAGUUAGGUGGGUGUGAGACAGUCCUGAAUCCACUCACCUUCUGGUUCAGUAGAGCCUGUACCACGUGGUUGGCAACCUGGGGACACAAAGUCCGGGAGCUGAGCUGGCGUUUUGCCCACCCACCCCUGUCCCCAGCCCUGUCCUUCGGCAAACCCCACAGACCUCAUCCAGACAGCGUUCGUAAGUCUCCCGCUGGUUCUCAUUGGCCUGCGCAAGCGCCGAGUUCUCUGCCUGUAGGGUGAGGUGGAAAGGGGAAUCAUUGAGGCUCAUUUGUACCCUGGGAGCGAGGGUGGCAGAGUGGACAGGCUUUGCCCUGUCCAUCAAACUCCUGGACCAGGGUUAUCUGACCGUUUUACCUAGUAGCCUCUAUGGAUAUCACUGUCCUUGGAACCAGUAGGGUCGUAAAGGUGGGGUGGGGGUGGGGAAGAGACACUCGUGGCAUAGGACAGCUACGUACUCUUCACUGUCGCCCGAGCUGGAGAGUGAAGAGGAACCGGGGCUUCCCAGGGGAGCUUUAAUAAAGAACCAACCGUCCAGCCCUCUCCUGCCUGGCAAGCCUUCUCCACACUGAGCUCAGCGGUGGGCAGCCCUGACUCCCCAUGCCCCGCCCUGCCCUGCCUGCCACCGCGUACCUCCAGCUCCCGAAGUCGGUGCAGAAGCUCCUGGCAGGUGCUGAGCUCCAUGCUGUCGUCCUCACCAGCCGAUGCCCUCAGCUUUCCGGUGCCUCCGGCCGGCUGGUCCAUGACCUUGGGAGUCAGGCUCUGGGAAUGAGGCCUGGCAGGCUACUCCCAGGCAGACCAGGAACAGGCAAGGAGAGAAGGCAGGAGGAGGGUGACAAAACUCUCUAGUGACCUCUGCUAUACUGGUGAUAAUGCAACAGCUCAAGGUUAGGCUGGGUGACUCUUGUUUAUUCUUCCCAUCCUGAGGCCGAGACUGUGCCUAUAGGAACCCCAGCGCUCACACACACCCUGCAUGGGGGCCUAGAGCCCGAAUUUUUUACUGGUCAACCAGCUGCCCUGUGACUCAACGUCCCUGUUUAGAAAGUAACACCAACUUCAACUAAUGUCACUCACUGUUGACACGUAAAACUUAAGUCUGCCAAGGGAUAUUUGUUUAUUUAUUUAUACAAGACAGGGUUCCACUGUGUAACAAGUCCUGGCUGUCCUGGACUCACUCUGUAGACCAGUCUGGCCUUGAAUUCACAGAGAUCCCUCUACCUCCGUCUCCUGAGGACUGAAAGUGUGCAGCAACCACGCCAGGCACCAAGGGUAUUUGAAAAGUAAAGAUGGGCUCAACCUACGGCUCAGCAGGACACACACUGAAGACCAGAGACUAUUCUACCCUGAACACACAGGAGCACAGCAGGGCUCUGACUGGCACUGCGCUGUGCCUUUCCUAUCAACGAGGCUCCUGCCGUUGCUGUUGGCUUGAAAUGACAAGUCUUCAUCUUUCAUCUGAGACCCUUUGUGUUACGCUGGCUCGUUCACUCUGGCAGCCAGAUGGGUCACCUCACCUGUAAAGGACAGAGGAACGGUGUUGCGGCAUUCCCUCAGUGCAUGGUAGGUCUGGAGUAAGCCCAGAGCCCUGCCGUUUUACUUUCAAAGCUUCUACCUAACGGACAAGGGAGACAACAUCAGGGAGAGAGCGCUAAGCGCUGACAGCAGGCAGAGGACCGCACGGGGUUGAGAGGAAACCCCCGAAAGGAAGAGCAACGAGCCAGUGGCAGCCUUUAAAUCCGUUCAACCUUCCCAGUUUUUGUCUGGUGACAUGGUUCCGCUUGCCCCACAGAGGUCUCCAGAUUCCAGCCAGACGUCAUUUGCCUCCCAGGGAACACCAGGAUGCAUAGUGACAGGGUCACCUGGAUCUCCUGACAAUGGGCUACAUUAAAUGAAGCCGCAGAAGUCUUUUCCCCAGAUGCUGAACAUGUGGGAUGUCGCUGAGCCUCGGCCAAGCACUCUCCUCCUCCUCCCUUGGGGCUUAGUCGCACCAGUUGCUGGGAAAACCCAGGCUUGGAUCCCAGGAUGGCCCCAGUUUCAAACAUUCCUGUGUGGUUCCACAGCGCAUCAGAAAGGUUGGAUCAGAGAACUCCUUGCCAGCCAGGCUGGGUAGUGGGGAAGAGACUGGCUCUGGAGACUCUUAAUGUGACUGGAAGCUUCUGCUAGAAAGGUGAGCAAGAGGCUCCUCCCUUCUUAAGGGGCCUGAUUCACAGGGAAGUGACUUUAGUGUGUGUGGAGGGGGAGGGAGGACAAGCAGAAAGCUCUCAGGCAACAGGGAGACAGGAAGAGAAAACUGCUGAGAAGUGUCUGGCCAGUCAGGCCUGUGGCUUGCACCUGUGAUCUUGAUGCUGAGGCAGGAGGACUGCUUAUGUGGUGAGAUAUGACACACCAGCUUGGAUUAGAGCAAGAGCCUGUCUUUAAAAAACAAGACAGAAUGGUAAGGAACAUAUUCCCCUAAAGUAGCCUUCAGAAACAAGCCUUCAGAGCACGCCUUUAAUCUUAGCACUUGGGAAUUCGAGGCCAGCCUGGUAAACAGAGAGUCCCAGGACAGCCAUGGCUACACAGAGAAACCCUGUUUUGAAAAACUUAAAAAAAGAAAGGAGAAGAAAAGAAAAGAAAAGAAAAGAGAAAGAAAGAGAGGAAGGAAGAAAAUAAAAGAAAAAAGAAAGAAAGAAAGAAAGAAAGAAAGAAAGGAAGGAAGGAAGAAAGGAAGAAAGAAAGAAAGAAAGAAAGAAAGAAAGAAAGAAAGAAAGAAAGAAAGAAAGAAGAAAACCCGAACAAACAGUAAAACUUUAAAAACUUUAGGACUGGAGAGAUGGCUUAGUAGUUAAAGAGCACUGGCUGCUCUUCCAGAGGACCAGAGUUCAAUUCCCAGCAACCACAUGGUGGCUCAUAACCAUCUGUAAUGGGAUCUGAUGUCCUCUUCAGAUGUGUCCGAAGACAGAGACAGUGUACUCACAUACAUAAAAUAAAUAAAUAAACCUUAAAAAAAACAAAAAAACAACAGAGUAAAAAUUUAAACUCCAAAGUCUGGUGGCUCAUGCCUGUAACCCAGGGAUAGGAAGGGGGAGGCAGGAGAACUGGGCCAGUCCGGACUACAGUAGACCCUACCACAAGCCAACAGAGAAAUGCCUUUAUCUCCCCAACCCAAAGCCAGGUCUUGUGCAUGCAAAGCACUGAGCCCUCAGCCCUGCACCCCCUUAAAUCUAGAAGGCUAGGACAGACAACAGUUUCUGCACCUCAAACACAGAUCUUGCCAUACUGACCUUGAGUCAGCCAAGGAGUGCCCCAGCCCCUCCUCUCCAGUGUGUGUGUGUGUGUGUGUGUGUGUGUGUGUGUGUGAAGCAUGGUUGCCUGGUCUCUCUCUCUCUCUCUGCUCACCUGGGCCAUCAGCCAAGGCCUUCUGGCCCUGAGGAGCCCCUCAUUCCCCAGCUGUUCCCUGAACAGUCCUCCUGGGAGAAAAGCCAGGGGCAGGGGGUGGGGGAGGAGUGAGCAGCUGCACGGAGGAAGGGAUGGGGGCUUUACUUAAAGAAUCAUCAGUGACACCAGCCAGUUCAGCUCCCUGGCCAGCUGCUCUCUGGAAUCCCAGCCUGUCACACCCAGGGGUCCACUUAUCAACAGCAACCUUUGCACCCACAGCAGACACAGAGCAAGCUAAGAGUAACCCCGGUUUGCAGAGAGUGUGGGCAGUCACAGGGUGGGACCUGAGAGAGCCCACUUAAUUUCUGGCUCAAAGUAGCUAAGGAUUCCAACUGGAUUCACUCCUUCCACGGGGAAAGAAGCCAAGAAAGUGCGGCCGUCCCCCAAGCUGGUCCAUAGACACAAUGGCCCUUCUGCAGUAAUGCCUACUGGAUCCUCCCUCCAGCUCCACUCAAGGGUACCCCAAGAACCCACCACAGACUGCAGGUUCUUCCAAACCAACUAAGAGCAGGACCAGGCUUCUCCUACAGUGUAGUAUUCAAGCAGUGUGGGGUGUUGUUAGCCCCUCGAAGACGUCUGAAUUACAACCUUCCUCAUCUCAGCGCUCAGAGAUCUCCUGUUCCCUGUCCAAGGGUAACAGCUGCUGGAGGUGGGGAGAAGGAAGGGGUUCCCACACAAUGGGUUUAUUUGUAGGACUACACACCAGGGGCUCAGCAGCCAAGCAGCCGAGGCCCCACUCCCAAAAGGCCAGCCAAGAGCUAAGCCAACCCAGCUAAGGAGAUGGAAAAAAUAUCAGACCAGAAGGCAGAGAGAGAGGUAAGGCCUAGCCCACUGCACAACUGAGAUGCUAUGUGACUUCAGGCAAGUCAGUCUCUCAGAAAGAGGUUCCUUCCCACUAUGUAGAGAUUGUUCUAGAAGAGUAACUCUCACGGAGUGGCCUGGGGACCCCAGUCAUGACACUGUCUACCCCCAUUCCUCGCCACCUUCUCCAGGGGCCCUUCCCACGACGCAGAAGCAGAUAAGAGGAUCUCUCUGCUCUCUACAAAGUCAGACACCAGAUUUGCAAGCAGUAAGAACACGGGCAUUCUCCACUCUUUUGUUUUAGGACAUAUAAUUAUUUUCAUAAGAUAUGGCAUCACGGUUAUUAUUUCUAACAUUUCUAUUUCACUGUAUUGUUUAUUUGUUUGUCUGCUUGUUUUGAGACUGGGCCUCAAUAUAUAGCCUUGGCUGGCUUGGAAUUUGUUAUGUAGACCAGGCUGGCCUUGAACUCAGAGAGCUACCUGAUUCUUGAGUACUGGAAUUAAGGGCACAACUAGGUGGUGUAAUUACUAUUACAACGAUGACAAUGACGAUGUGUGUGUGUAUGCAUGUACACGUGUUCUCAUUUUGGUGCAUGUAUGAAGGUCAGAACUGACUACCAAAAGUUGUUUUUCUCUCCUUUCUAGUCCUGGGUGUCAAACUCAGGCCAUUAGGCUUGGUGGCAAGUGUUUGCCCACUAAACCAUCUCAAUAUACCUGCUUUUACACCUGCCUGCCUAACAGUCUGUUUUUGCAUGCACAUGAAGGCGCAUGUGUGGAAGUCAGAGGACAAUUCUUGGGCGUCGUCUCUCUCCUUCACCCUAAGGUCUCUGGAGAUCAAACUCCAGAUGCUGUCAGGCUCAGUGUCAAAUGCCUUUACCAGGAUAAGCCAUCUCAUUGACCUUUAAGUGAACAGAAUAAACAUUUUAAACUCUCAGUUCUAACACAGCAUAGGAAGGGUAGCCAGAGGGCAUAGAGGCCUCUUUCCUGUGGCUUCCUGGCUACCACGUUUCUGUCUUGCCACAGGCCUAAAGCAAUGGUUUGAAGCCUAUGAAAAUACAGACUAAAUAAAUCUUUCCCUAGAAAGAAAGCAUAGAGAUCAUAUAUCAAAAGGCUGGAGAAUCAUGCUUGGUUGAGAAUCACGCUUGGUUAGCUUUUAGUUUUGUUUUUGCAGUCCCGGGAUCAGGCCAAGGGAUGAACCCUCUACCAACCACGCUACUGUACAGUCAGAGGAUCCCGUCCAGAACAGCCAUCCAGAGCCGAGAGGGAAAGUUCAGUUUAUCACUGUUAGCACUACCUACAGGUGGGAAAGAUGGCUAAUCCAACCGAGAAGUUACACUCUUUCUGCUUAUCAAUCCAUCUAUCCUCCAUCUAUCUAUCACCUAUCAUUUAUCCAUCUAUCUAUCUACUACCUAUCUACCUAUCUUUAUCAUCCAUCUAUGUAUCUAUCCAUCAUCUAUCUAUAACCUAUCUAUGGUUCUAUCUAUCUAUCUAUCUAUCACCUAUGUCUUUAUCAUCCAUCUACCUAUGUGUCUAUCAUCUAUCUAUAAUCUAUCUAUGGUUCUAUCUAUCUAUCUAUCUAUCUAUCUAUCUAUCUAUCUAUCAUCUAUCUAUGUGUCUAUCUAUCAUCUAUCUAUAAUCAAUCUAUCUUUAUAAUCCAUAUGUUUAUGUAUCUAUCUUUAUCAUCCAUUUAUGUAUCUAUGUAUCUAUCUACCAUCUAUAAUCAAUUAAUCUAUCUAUCUAUCUAUCUAUCUAUCUAUCUAUCUAUCUAUCUAUCAUCUUCAGUAGCUGAGGCUAGCCUGAACUCCAUAUUCUACUUUCCCACUUCCCUAGCUGUGAGAUUCCAGGGAAGCACAAGCCAAGCCCAGAUGGAACCCAGUUUUGAAGAGCCACCAUAGCUGGUGGCCGGAGACCCCCAGGUCCUCUGGCAUAUCCUUUCUGCAGGGAAUGGGAGAGGGAAAGACAAAGGACGGACACUCACUCCUGUCCCCAGCUUUUGUUUACCUACUUUUCUCACUUUUUCUGUGUCAACUCAGGGGUCACUUGUGCCAUGGGUCCCACCGGCUCUCCAUCAAGGCCUCUGGCCAGAGCUACUUCUCCAAUCUUGAAACCACGAUUCCCGCUCAGCUACCCAUCCCAUCUCCCCAGAGGGAGAUUCCAGCUGCUGGCUUUUCCCCUAUAAGAAUCUUCUCACCAGGCUUAGGUGCACACAUUUUUAAUCUCAGCACUCAGCACAGAGGCAGAGGCAGAGGCAGAGGCAGGUGGAUCUCUAUGAGCUCGAGGCCAGCCUGGUCUGCAUACUGAGUUCCAGGCCAGCCAGGACUACAUGGUGAGACACUGUCUCAAAAUGAGCCAUAAAAUCAAAUCUUCCAUCCCUGCUCAUCACCCGUUAGAGCAGCGAGCUGUCUCUUCCCUGCCCAGGCCAGUUCGUUAUGACUGACACAUCCCUGCCUGGUUUUGGUAUCUACCUUCUGAAGGCAUUUCUCCCAUUCACUUUUUUUAUGUGCUAGGAGUUACUCUCAGAGCCUCGAGCAUGCUAAGCAUCCGCUCAAAAACUUCUCAUGCAAUUUUAAGAUGUGGUAGUUCCUGUGAGGCUGAAACAUUCCAGUCUGCAGGGAAAUUCCUUAAACAGGAAGGUGAGCAACUCACAAUAGCUUCCGGAAGUCCCUAAAACUGACCGGAUUUACUAGGCCCCUUGUCGGCAGAGUGUGAAGUAAGAGUUGAGGGUCCCUCUCAGACCAAGAAAACUGCACUGUGAUGAAGACUCUCAGAGGAGAAAAGCUACAGAGAGGACUUCUGAGGCCAGCAGAGUUGCUUGGCAAGGUUUAAAACCCUCAGAGCACCUGGAAAGGACACUCUGCAGCCUGCUGAGCAGCGAGCUCCAGGUUCCCAGCUGUGUCAGCGGUCACUCGCACUCAUCCCUUUGGUGAUGAAGCCACCUCUCAGUCAUUUCUGCUCCUGUAAGUAACUUCAAUAAAACGGAACGGUUCACCAAGUUGGACUUUGGUGUUAUCCAUACCUGGGUCUAAUCUGGGUUCCCUAUCUAGAGUGAGUAUAUGUAUGUGUUGUGUCUCCCCAGAAAGUUUUUUCACACAUCACCAAGGGUCUCAAAAACGAAGAAAAACAAGGGGCUGGAAAGAUGGCUCAGCGGUUAAGAGCACUGACUCCUCCUCCGAAGGUCCUGAGUUCAAAUCCCAGCAACCACAUGGUGGCUCACAACCAUUUGUAUGAGAUCUGAUGCCCUCUUCUAGGGUGUCUGAAGACAGCUACAGUGUACUUACAUAUAAUAAAUAAAUAAAUCUUUUAAAAAAAGAAAAACAAAAGAAAACAAGCAUAAAGCAAACAAUACAAAAUAGAAAAACCCCAAAGGAGCCGCCCUCAGGCGUGAGAGCCCUGGCCCUUGCAAGUCAGGAGAGCUGGCCCUGGAGACUCAGGUGUAGGAGAGCUGUCGGGCUGACCAACUCACUUCCACCUAGGCCCAGACCCGGGGUUUUGAGUUGACCAACCCAACAUACACCCCAUCUAUGCACUGCUGGAGCCUUUGGGAAAAGGGUGACACUGUGACACACUGUGAUACACUGCAGCUUCCACUGAGAGAUAUUUUCUUUUCUUCUUUGUUUUGUUUUUGUUUUUAUUUUUGUUUUCUUUGGUUGGGGGGAGAUUGCAAGGGUGGAGUGGAGGGUGGAUAUGAAGGGAUGGAGAGACGAGUGGGAUUGGGGUAUAAGAGGUAAAAUUCACGAAGAAUUAAUUAAAACCAAAAAACCCUAAAGGACGAAACUUAUAUGGAUAGAGGGCUUAGUUCUCACCCCUUCCUUAUUCCUGUCCCAAGUGGCAGGUCACUGCCACAGCAGUAAAUCCAAGCCACACUUCCCAGUCUUCGCUGGCCUCUCUCGGCUCCAGGAAUUCCUUCUACCUGCACUUACUUCAGCAAGAUUCAGAGCAGAAUCCCCAUCCUGUACAACCCACCUGAUUAAAGUGCAUACGCUGGGUAUGGUGUCACACCAUCUGAGCAUGCUCAGGCGCAGGUGAGAGGCUCUCACGCUGAAGGCCAGCUUGGGAUACCUGAGACCUGGUCUUAAAGCACAUCUACAAGAUACAGAGGAACUCAGACAAUUCAUUGGAUCUCACUAUACUCAGCUAAAUGGCCAAUCGCAUCAAUCUUAGAUCGUUUACUCCUGCCUUUUCCUUAGCAGCUUCCACCCAGCUAGCCCAAGGGACCACUGUGUAGCUUCUGUCUUCGUAUGUUUCUUUAUUCUGGACGUUUUGUUUGAAUGGAAUCACACAGUAAGUGGCCUCCUGUGACUGGCUCCUUUCACCCCCUUACAGUCUGUUCAGAGUUCACCGUGUUGUAAGCUUUAUUACUGAUCAUUCUUCACGGCUAAGCCUGUGUGCACAGCCCACAUCUGUUUAUCCGCUCCCUGAAGGUAUACACUCAGGCUGUCUGCACCUUGGGGCUAUUACAAUCAUAUCAUCUAUGGGCACGUUUGUGGAAAGCUGCAUGUCUUCAAUUCUCUUAGGGAUCUAUGAGUAGGACUGAGGGAUCAUGUGACCUACUUCCAGUUGUUCAAGGAAGCACCAGACUGCCUUCCAAAGCUGAAACAGUUACCAUUUCACCAACAAAGUCUGAGGGCUGCGGUCUUUCUUUCUCUCUUUCUUCCUUCCGUCCUUCCUUCCUUUCUUUCUUUUUAAUUUUUCAAGACAAGGUUUCUCUGUAUAGCCCUGGCUGUCCUGGAACUCACUCUGUAGAUCAGGCUGGCCUCGAACUCAGAAAUCCACCUGCCUCUGCCUCCCGAGUGCUGGGAUUAAAGGCGUGCGACACCACGCCCAGCGUGUGUGUGUUCUUAAAAGACAGAGUAGCAAGUUACCACGUGUAUAUUUUUCUUUAAGCAGAACAAUUUUUAGAAGAUGAAAUGACAGAAUGUAUUCACUUCCUCACAUCCUACCAGCACCCACAUGGCAGCUCACAGCUCCCUGUAACUCCAGGUUCCA